GAGUUUGAUCGUGGCUCAGGAUGAACGCUAGCUACAGGCUUAACACAUGCAAGUCGAGGGGCAGCAUGCGGAUUGCUUGCAAUCCGCGAUGGCGACCGGCGCACGGGUGAGUAACGCGUAUCCAACCUUCCCUACACUUCGGCAUAACCCGGCGAAAGUCGGACUAAUUCCGAAUGGUCUCCUUUGACGGCAUCAGAAGCGGAGUAAAGAUUUAUCGGUGUAGGAUGGGGAUGCGUCCGAUUAGCUGGUUGGUGUGGUAACGGCUCACCAAGGCUACGAUCGGUAGGGGUUCUGAGAGGAAGGUCCCCCCAACUGGAACUGAGACACGGUCCAGACUCCUACGGGAGGCAGCAGUGAGGAAUAUUGGUCAAUGGGCGAAGCCCUGAACCAGCCAAGUAGCGUGCAGGAUGACGGCCCUA
rnacentral:rRNA from 1 species